AUUGAACGCUGGCGGCAGGCCUAACACAUGCAAGUCGAACGAGUGGCGGACGGGUGAGUAAUGUCUGGGAAACUGCCUGAUGGAGGGGGAUAACUACUGGAAACGGUAGCUAAUACCGCAUACCAUCGGAUGUGCCCAGAUGGGAUUAGCUAGUAGGUGGGGUAACGGCUCACCUCGGCGACGAUCCCUAGCUGGUCUGAGAGGAUGACCAGCCACACUGUAACUGAGACACGGUCCAGAUUCCGACGGGAGGCAGAAGUGGGGAAUAUGGCACAAUGGGCGCAAGCCUGAUGCAGCCCUGCCGCGUGUAUGAAGAAGGCCUUCGGGUUGUAAAGUACUUGCAGCGGGGAGGCGUGACCCGCAGAAGAAGCACCGGCUAACUCCGGGCCAGCAGCCGCGGUAAUAC
rnacentral:rRNA from 1 species